UUACGGGAGGCAGCAGUGGGGAAUUUUGGACAAUGGGGGCAACACUGAUCCAGCCAUGCCGCGUGUGUGAAGAAGGCCUUCGGGUUGUAAAGCACUUUCGGACGGAACGAAAUCGCACGAUCUAACAAGUCGUGUGGAUGACGGUACCGUAAGAAGAAGCACCGGCUAACUACGUGCCAGCAGCCGCGGUAAUACGUAGGGUGCGAGCGUUAAUCGGAAUUACUGGGCGUAAAGUGUGCGCAGGCGGCAGAGCAAGUCGAGUGUGAAAGCCCCGGGCUUAACUUGGGAAUUGCGCUCGAAACUACUUUGCUGGAGUGUGGCAGAGGAAGGUGGAAUUCCACGUGUAGCGGUGAAAUGCGUAGAGAUGUGGAGGAACACCAAUGGCGAAGGCAGCCUUCUGGGCCAACACUGACGCUCAUGCACGAAAGCGUGGGGAGCAAACAGGAUUAGAUACCCCGGUAGU
rnacentral:rRNA from 1 species